UACGUAGGGACCGAGCGUUGUCCGGAUUCAUUGGGCGUAAAGAGCUCGUAGGCGGCUGCUCAAGUCGAAUGUGAAAACUCGAGGCUCAACCUCGAGCCUGCAUUCGAUACUGGGCGGCUAGAGUCUGGUAGGGGGGAUCUGGAAUUCCUGGUGUAGCGGUGGAAUGCGCAGAUAUCAGGAGGAACACCAAUUGCGAAGGCAGCUCGCUGGGACGUUACUGACGCUGGAGACGCGAAAGCGUGGGGAGCAAACAGG
rnacentral:rRNA from 1 species